rnacentral:rRNA from 1 species
AGUGAACGCUGGCGGUAGGCCUAACACAUGCAAGUCGAACGGCAGCACAGUAAGAGCUUGCUCUUACGGGUGGCGAGUGGCGGACGGGUGAGGAAUACAUCGGAAUCUACUUUUUCGUGGGGGAUAACGUAGGGAAACUUACGCUAAUACCGCAUACGACCUACGGGUGAAAGCAGGGGAUCUUCGGACCUUGCGCGAUUGAAUGAGCCGAUGUCGGAUUAGCUAGUUGGCGGGGUAAAGGCACACCACGCCGACGAUCCGUAGCUGGUCUGAGAGUAUGAUCAGCCCCACUGGAACUGAGACACGGUCCAGACUCCUACGGGGCGCAGCAGUCGGGAAUAUUGCACAAUGCGCGCAAGCCUGAUCCAGCCAUACCGCGUGGGUGAAGAAGGCCUUCGGGUUGUAAAGCCCUUUUGUUGGGAAAGAAGAGCAGCAGGUUAAUACCCCGCUGUUCUGACGGUACCCAAAGAAUAAGCACCGGCUAACUUCGUG